UACGUAGGGCGCAAGCGUUGUCCGGAAUUAUUGGGCGUAAAGGGCGCGUAGGCGGCGCGGGCAGUCGAUCGUGAAAGUCCGGAGCUCAACUCCGGAUCGGCGGUCGAUACUCUCGUGCUUGAGCACUGUAGAGGCAGAUGGAAUUCCGGGUGUAGCGGUGGAAUGCGUAGAGAUCCGGAAGAACACCGGUGGCGAAGGCGGUCUGCUGGGCAGUUGCUGACGCUGAGGCGCGACAGCGUGGGGAGCAAACAGG
rnacentral:rRNA from 1 species